CCCCGCAGUACACAAGGAGAGAGCUGUUCAGGCUGGAGGAUGUGGGGGAUGGGAUGAAGGAAGCAUUGGAACAGGCCACCCUGGAGAAAUCCGAAACCUUGGGAGCUGUGAAAUCAUUCCAGGUCCCGAACCUCCCGCCCCUCUCGGGCCACGCUUUCUACCAACCUCCACCCAGCGCCCACCUUGGGCCUAGUUUCUGUUCCUAAGCCGACCCUAAGCUUUCAGCUUGUUACGUCCCCCACCGCAAGCCUGAAGGAGACACGUGCUCAGCUCUACAACCUCUCGAGUGCCCUGAACUUACCCUAGACUUCUUUACUUCGUUGAGACCUGUUAGUCCCUGGACUCCUCUGCCUUAUACGAAAUCUAUCAGCUGACCACUUUUCCUUCUCUGCUGACCUCGUGGUGGACCAUUUAAGUUAAAGAUCUUAUACUCCUAAAGCUUUACCCUCUAGUCUCUCAAUCUUGAAUAAAUUUCAUAAGAAUUGGUAACAAAAUGUUAUGAUGAUUCAUUUGCUACUGAAAGUAGUGUUUUGUCCUUAGCCGAUAACCUCUCCAUCCAUCAUAGUAUCGUCCAGAUUUUCACUCUGCGGUCCCUAAUCUCCUCUCUCCACCGACAGAUAUCACCUGUCAGAACAGAAAGGCCACCUUGCAGAAUUCGUGGCUUCCCGUCUCUCAUCUGCAAACUGGGUGGUGUGUAUCCCUUUUCCAUUUCACUAGGAAUCCUCCCUUCAGUUUAAGGAAGUCUCUUUACUAUUUAUGUGGUCCAUUUCUCUGCUACCCUGAGGCUGCCCUCCAUUUUGGUUUCCCAGCUGAAAAAAAGAAAAGAACUCUCUCGAUAUCAAACACCCUUUAGACUCUUACUUAUUUCUCAGCUUCCUUGCACAGUCAAAACCUAAAAUUAUCCUUAUCUAGAUUCUCUAUCUCUCUUUCUCUCCCUAUCCCCACUCUUCAACCCAUUUCUGCCAGGCUCCCACCACCAAAGCUUUUCUGGCAAAUGUCACCAAGAACCUCCUAAUUGCCAAAGUCAGGAAGUACUUCUCAGUUCUCACCUUAUUUGACCUCUCUGAAGCAUUUGACAUUUGAUCAUGCUUCCGUCCUCACAUUCUCUAUACCCCUGAUUUCUGUGACCAGUUUCACCUGUUUCUUUUCUGACUUGUAUUACUGUUCCUUCCCAGUCUUUUGUGUGUGUGUUGUUCUUUAGCACCUUGCUGCGUGUUGAUGUUUGCCAGGAUUAUGCCUGUUUGCUUCUAGUUCUAUUCAUCUCUAGGUAAUCUCUCUCAAUGACUCUAAGCCUCUCAAAUCCGUAUUUUUAGUUCCGACACCUCUCCUAAUCUAAACUUCCUAUUAAAUAUUUCCAUUUGGAUAACCCUCAGACACUUCAACAUGUUCAGAAUUGAUGCAAUCUGUAUAUAGUCUAGACCUGCUCCUUUUGUAUUAUCCAGAGUAAAGGUAGCUAUUCAGUUUCAAAGUCUAGAAUCUGGGAGCCACUCUUGAUUUUUUUUCUCACAACUUUACAUCCACAAGACUUAUUAUUUUGCCUCUUAAAUAUCCACUGAAUCAUACUCCUGUCCUAGUCCUAUCACCUGAACUACAUCAACUGUUUCCUAGGUGAUUUCCUUUUCUCUAGAGCUGCGAUGCCCAAUACAGCCACUAACCACAUGUGGCUUUUCAGAGUUUAGUAUCACAUAGAGUUUUAAAUUUAGUUCCUCAGUUACACUAGCCACAUUUUAAAUUCUCAAUAGGCGCAUGGGACUAGUGGCUAACAGAUGAGACGGCACAGAUUAUUGAACAUUUCUGUCAUUGCAGAAAGUUCUGUUGGACGGUACUGCUCUAAACUUUCCUCUCUGCCUCUGCCAUAAUACAACCAGGAAUGAGCUUUCCAAAACACAGCUCUGGCUAUAUGCUAUUGUUUAAACCCUGUAUUAAUUUCUCAUUGACUAUGUGACAAGAUCCAAAUUACUAUGUCUAGCCACUUCCUCUCAGGCUGUAUACUCCAGCCAUAUUGAACUAUUUCCCAGACAUAUUUCAUGCCUCUAUGUUUUACACAUGUGCACACUCUACAUGGAAUAAACUUUUCCCCAAUCUAAGCACAAAUACCAACAUCUUUGAAAAGCUUACUCUUCUAAAUUGAGCUGACUGUUCAUUCUUUGGUGUCCCUUCCCCUUAUGAUUGUACUAUCCACAGUGAAUGGCAUGUAUGUGCUUAUUAUUACAUGUUUCUCUCCACUACUGGCCUUUGAUCUUGAGAGAGCAGGACCAUGUUUUAUUCUUUUCUCUCUCUCUUUUUAAUCCCCAGGUCCCAGCAUAGUACCCGGCCAAUAUGAGGUGCUCACAAAUGGAGCAAAUGUUUUAGUAAAUUGAUGCUUAAGUAUAUGACUUAGAAACACUAUUAUCUUGUGGAGAAUACGGUUUGAGAACUGCUGUUGCAAACAUCCAAGUUGAGAUGACCAGAGGCAGCUGAAUAUAUGGUACUGUGGAACUCAGAGCAAGAUCUGAGCUGAAGAGGUAAAUUUAGAAGAUGUCAGCAAAUGGGUGGUAACCGAAGGCAUGUGGGAGUAAGUGAGACCAUCCGGGGCAAGUGUAUAGUGUGAGAAGGGUAAAGGUUGGGGCAAGUGUAUAGUGUGAGAAGAGUAAAGGUUGAGGACAAAACUCGAGGGAACACCAAUACUUAAAGAGUAGCUAAAAGAAAGGCAUCCCCAAAGGAGGCUGAAAGGGGAUGCUAGAGAACUGGGAAGAAAAACUAGGAGAGAGUGCCAUGAGAGAUGCCAAAAAUUAGACUGAUUGAGGGUAUAGCUAACAGUGUCAAAUGUUGCAGAGACUGCAAGGAAUCCAUUUGAUUUAGCAACAAAAAAAUGUUGAACAAUUUUAUUGUCAAGGGUUAAAGAUUAAAUGGCAAGUGUAACAGUGGGGACAUGACAUUUCAGGAAAUUUGGCUCUACCAGGGGGAAAAUGGGGCAGUGUUAGAGAGGGAUGGGAGCGCUGGGCGUUAGAAAGCCAUGGCCUGGAUUUGCAGGUGCUAUGCCAUUAUUUUCAGAGGCCUUUGUAGCUAAUGGCAAAGAAGACAGGGAGCUACUGUGAAGCAGAACUGGCUUCCUUGCUUCUCUUGCCCAUGAUCAUUAUUUCCCUAAAUUGAUUAGUGCCUAUUUCUGAAAUAUCUAUGAUGGAGGUGGUUGGAGGUCCUGGCAGGAGGAAGGAUUACUUAGAGGAAAGAGUAGUUAUAAAUGUUUGAACUUGUUACCAUUUAUACUGGGAUUAUAGAAGGAAGAGAAAGGAGUUAACCACUCCUUGCCAUAGUCUUGCUGAGGGGUGGUAAUAUUUUUCCUUACUCUGGUCUUGUCCACACUUUGCUCUCUGUGGAGAACUUGGACCCCUUUGCCUAAUUCCUCUCACCCAGAGUAAUUGCAGUGUCUGCUAUACCUGUUCCCAAGCCCCCACACCCAGCCCACCUUCUCCUGUUCUUUCCCAGAUCUUCCAAAUAACCUGUUGUAACUGGGCACAACGUGUUCAUUAACUGAUUGCCAUUCCCAUAAAUAAGGUGGAAUAGGGCUCUUCUUUAAAAAAUGAGUUUAUUUUUAUCCCAGUUCUGACCACAUGCAUAGAACAUCAUUCAGCAAACUAAGGGCUGUGAGCAAAAUCUUGCCAACCACUUGUUUUUAAAUGGCCUAGAAGCUAAGAAUGGUCUUAACAUUUUUAAAUAGCUGAGAAAAAGCAAAAUAAUAUUUCAUGACACAUGAAAAUUACAUGAAAUUCAAAUUUUAGUGUCCAUAAAUAAAGAGAUUUGAGGACAAACCUCCAGGGAACACCAGUAUUUAAAGAGUAGUUGAAAGAAAGGAGUCUACAAGGGAGACGGAGAGGGAGACGCUCAAGAUGUGGGAGGAAAAGCUAGGAGGACACCAGGGACGGGCGCUCUUUCAUUUACAUGCUGCCUGUGGGCGCUUUCGGCCGCAGCUGAUGCUCACUACAGAGAGCAGGCAGUCCACGAGGGCUGAAAUAUUCACCAUCUGGUCCUUUGCAGAAGAAGUUUGGCGACCCUGGGUUAGAGCUCUAGGUGGCUGUGUGCCACGUAUCUUCCCAUACAGUCCUGCUAGGCUCGUCAACGUCCUACUGUCCUACGGGGCUUGACUCUCCCUGCCGCCAGAACUGCCGACGCAUUAGUCCACAAAGCUUGGGAUACUGGGAAAAUGUUCUUUUGUUUUUGGAGUGUUACAAUGAUUUCUAAACCCUACUCCUUCCCUGGCACCCUUCCUCUACCACACAGACACAUGCGUUGCUGUCCCAGAAUAUCCAGGAGGUCAAGGGACUGCUUUUGUGUUUAUUUUUGGCUGUUACUGCUGCUGUUAUUUGUUUAUCGAAAGGGAGUAAGAAGCUGGGCAUGGUGGCACGGGCCAGUAGUUCUAGCUACAGGGCAGGAAGAAUGAGUUCUAGCUGAGGCAGGAGGAUCCCUGAGGCCAGGAAUUUAGGGCUGUAAUGCACUAUAAUCACACCUGUGAGUAGCCACCGCUUUCCAGACUGGGUAACAUAGCAACUUCGUCUCUAAAAACAGGGGGCGGGGGUACCGAUUUUGAAGGUCUCAGAAAGACUAACGGAUUGCACUCACAUAGAUUAAUUUCUCAGAUUACUUAAUUGCCACAUCAGAGCUUUCUCACUGCCUUUCCCCCAGCCCUUCUGUCUUUUUCUUUUCUCUCUCGAACUUGAAGCAUAUACCCUGAUGGUUUCUUCCUCACCUCCCACUUCCUUCUUAGCCCACCACAAUCUGGAGUCGACUCCCACCACAACACCGAGGCUGCUCUCAAUAAAUUUGCCAGCCGCCUCAGAAUCACCAAAUCUCAGGACACUUUUCAGUCCUUCCUUGACUUUUGAGUAGUAUUCAUAACACUGACCUCGUGCUCCUUAAUGGAACACCUCACUUUACUUCUAGGAUCUACUUCCUCCUUGUUCGUCUCUUAGCUUUCUGGACGCUCCUGGUGCCACCAGGUUCUUACAGCUUAGCGUCUUUCAGUGUCCUGGCUAUUACCUGUUGUCUCAGUGCCACACCCACCCUCCCAUACCGCGUUUGACCGUCUGCCUAGGAGGCAGCAGGUGUGUUUCCCAGGCUUCCUGGCCAGCUGGCGGCCUCUUAGAUUCUGCUGAUAGGAGACGCUGGCGGGAGAGCAGAAGGCAGAAGGGACUGAGAAGCUUCCUGCUUCAGCCUCUAACAGGUGACAGCUGCUGGCGAUUGCUGGUAGAUGUAGCGGCAGGAAGAAUGGGUGACUCUGGAUUCCAGCCUCCAGGGCAGAAGUACUUUCUCUAUGAUUCUAGCCCUGGUGGAGGUGGCACCUUUUUAGUAGAUAAGAACUGACCGUGACAGUGUCUCCCACAAGCAGCAGGUGUGGAUUUGUGGAUUCCAGCUGAGGGGCGAUGGCAGCAUCUGAUUUCCAGGUACUGAUCCUUUUUUCUGUUUGCACUUCGAGGACCCUCCUCCUUUUUGGACCGCUUGCCCUUUUAACACUUUUGUAACCGAUCAUCUACGUUAAAUUCUCUCAGUCUGAAGUACUUAGAGGGGCUACAUAUUCCUGAUUGGAUCCUGGAUGACAACUUGUAUGAAGUUUGGGCUCGAACCCAUGCUUACCUACAUCCUGACUUCACCUCCCGCUCCUUCUGCACGGUUUAUGUUUAUGUGGGUGCCCACAGCCCAUGCAUCCACAUUUGUGCCGAUGACUCCCCAGGCAGGUUCUGCAGCCCCCGCCUGAGGUCUGCACCCCACACCUCGCGGCCUCCUGCGCUGCUGCAGCUGGCGUCCUGCUGGCAUUUCACAUCCACGUACAAAAUUGAACUCAUUCGCUUCCUCUUUAAACCUGCUCCCAUGGCAUUUUUUUCUGCUUCAAUUCGGUCCAUCACUGACCACCCACCCAGCCAACCACACGGAGUUAUCCUUGACUCCCCAUCUCCUCUCCUUCCCACAUCUAAUCAGUAGCCAAACUCUUUAGAUUCUACUUCCUAAUUAUCUCAAUAUUCUGUUCCCUCCGUUUCCUCUGAUUAUGAGUUAAUUCACGCUCUUACCAUCUCGCACUUAAAUUAUUACUAUAUUGCUUGCUACAAGAGGGUGGGGUGUGGCUGUGAAACUUUUUUCCUUGGCAUAGUGUGCUACAGACUCUUGACCAGCAGUUUGCCUCAAUUCUUUCCAAGCUCUAGUUCAUCGUUUUGAAGCAUCAAUCAGAACAACUUUUCUAAAAUGCUAAAAUGGUUGUGUCACUCCCCAGUUUUUUUAAGAGGCAGAGUCUUGCUCUGUAACCCGGGCUGGA